CAGUCGCCGCGGUAAAACGGAGGGUGCAAGCGUUAUCCGGAUUUAUUGGGUUUAAAGGGUCCGUAGGCGGAUCUGUAAGUCAGUGGUGAAAUCUCACAGCUAAACUGUGAAACUGCCAUUGAUACUGCAGGUCUUGAGUAAAUUUGAAGUGGCUGGAAUAAGUAGUGUAGCGGUGAAAUGCAUAGAUAUUACUUAGAACACCAAUUGCGAAGGCAGGUCACUAAGAUUUAACUGACGCUGAUGGACGAAAGCGUGGGGAGCGAACAGGAUUAGAUACCCCGGUAGUCCCUGUCUCUUAUAC
rnacentral:rRNA from 1 species